CCCCAGAAAACUGAACUGUAAGUUCUAGGUAGACUAAUUGGGAGCAGACAUGGAGUUUUAGAUGCCUUAGCCAAACCCAGCAGAAACCUUUCACACAGCCACUCAUCGUAAGAAACGCAGAUUUUUCUCUCCUCAUGCUUGUCUCUGGUUCCCUGCAUUUGUAGUGACAGAACUUUCACUAGCAGGAUAUAAAGAAAGUAAUUAUGCUUGGAGUCCCUCUUUACUGGGUUUGAGUUAGGUACAUAACAUGGAAAGGAGUGGUGCCUUCAAAUGAAUGUGACCACUCCCUAUUAGGAGUGACUUCCCUAGGGCAUCCUAUACAUCCUACCACAGAAGGCCAAGGGACAGAGCACCAACUUCAGUAUCCAAGAAAUUAGAUCCAAAACUCUUGAUUUUCCACACUGAGGACUGUCGCGAGUAAGUUGUAAGUUUGCCGUCUUCCUUCUGGCUUAGCAGGUGCUGCAGCUGUACUCUCGACUCCUGUCUGUGAGCGUGAGCUCAGGAGAUGGGAGUGGAGUCUAUUCCAAAAAAAAAAAAAUGUGAUGAAGUUUUUCAUAAAAGUGCAUUCAUAUGCCAAAUCCUUUUUGGAGGAUUCUGGAUGCUAUUGUUCAUUUCUCUACUAGUAAAAUGAUCAAGCCUUCAUUUAUUUUAGGCUUUGUUUUUUGAUCCAUUUUGUUUUCCCUGCUGUAAUGAGAACAUUGUUUGGAAAUGUCAUAUUCUGUAUUUAUGAUUCUCUGAGAAAUGCUUUUGUAUAAGUCUUAGGUUGGACAUUGCAGUAGUUGACAUACACGGUAAAGGAUAACCUAGUGACAAAUCACUGAAGAUGCUUCCUUUGUUACCUCAAAAAAAAAUCCAGACAAAAUAGCAUUUAUAAAUAUAGAAAACAGGAUUGGCUGUUUUCCAAGAACUUCAAGUUAACAAUUCUUAUGCAAGGAAAAGUUCUUAACGCUAAAGACUUGUUCUGCAUGAAGGAGACAUUCUUUAAUAAUGGAAGAGGUGGUUUUAUUUUUACUACAAGCCGACUCAUAUUUCCAAACCUAUAACCAAUUGCUGAUCUCCUGUGUAAAGCAUUUUUUUUCCUUUUGUCUGAAACAGUGAUUUAUAUGAACUGUUGGAAUAAUGGAACCUCAAACUACAGAUGUGUAUGUAAAAUUGCAUAAAUGCACUGACUUCCUUCUCCCUGACUAUAUUUUUAAUAAACAGCAUUAUCCUA
rnacentral:lncRNA from 1 species